rnacentral:rRNA from 1 species
UGAGGAAUAUUCCACAAUGGGCGCAAGCCUGAUCCAGCAAUGCCGCGUGUGUGAAGAAGGCCUUCGGGUUGUAAAGCACUUUUAUCAGGAACGAAAUCUGCAGGGCUAAUACCCAUGCAGUCUGACGGUACCUGAGGAAUAAGCACCGGCUAACUUCGUGCCAGCAGCCGCGGUAAUACGAAGGGUGCAAGCGUUACUCGGAAUUACUGGGCGUAAAGCGUGAGUAGGUGGUUGUUUAAGUCUGCUGUGAAAGCCCCGGGCUCAACCUGGGAAUGGCAGUGGAUACUGGACAACUGGAGUGCGGUAGAGGGUAGUGGAAUUCCCGGUGUAGCGGUGAAAUGCGUAGAGAUCGGGAGGAACACCAGUGGCGAAGGCGGCUACCUGGACCAGCACUGACACUGAAUCACGAAAGCGUGGGGAGCAAACA